rnacentral:lncRNA from 1 species
UCGGGAAAGCUUACAUGAAGUGUGCCUUUACAUAAAAUCGUAAUCUUUUCUUUACAUGAAUGCUCACACGAGCUGUGAAGUGGGCCUACUCACAUGAGUUGUGAGUCGAAAUGCAAGCUACACGAUGUUGCUCACACGAAUUGUGGAGAAUCUGCAAUAAAUGCAGGACCUCAGCAUCGGUAUGACAUUCAAGACUAGUACCCGAAACAUGAAAUCCUUA